UACAGAGGUCUCAAGCGUUGUUCGGAUUUAUUGGGCGUAAAGGGUGCGUAGGCGGCAGAUCAAGUUAGAUGCGAAAUACCCGGGCUCAACCCGGGAACUGCAUUUAAUACUGCUCUGCUCGAGUAUUAGAGAAGAAGCUGGAAUUUACGGUGUAGCAGUGAAAUGCGUAGAUAUCGUAAAGAACGUCAGUGGCGAAAGCGAGCUUCUAGAUAAUUACUGACGCUGAGGCACGAAAGCUAGGGGAGCAAACGGG
rnacentral:rRNA from 1 species